rnacentral:tRNA from 1 species
GCUCCCGUAGCUCAGUGGAUAGAGCGUAGGACUCCUAAUCUUAAGGUCGCAGGUUCAACUCCUGCCGGGAGCGCCA